UGAGUGACCUGCCGAUUUGUGGGGGAUAGCCGGGCCAACGCCCGGGUAAUACCGCAUACGCUCUUCUUGGGGCAUCUCUAGAAGAGGAAACCUCCGGGGCAAAUCGAGGGACUCGCGGCCUAUCAGCUAGUUGGCGAGGUAACGGCUCACCAAGGCUACGACGGGUAGCUGGUCUGAGAGGAUGGCCAGCCCACAUUGGGACUGAGAUACGGCCCAGACUCCGUACGGGAGCAGC
rnacentral:rRNA from 1 species